CAUCGUUAGGUACCGAACACAGAAAUACGUACAUGUGUAUGGUAUACGAGUAGACAAACGUUGGAUUAGAAAAACUAUUAUUUGCAGUGCAAAUAAUACAAUUAUUGUUGUAACGACGAUAAUUUUAUUUUUGGAAGUAUCGAAAUUAAUUAAAACGUGACAAAUGGCCGUGGCGAAGUUUCUAAGUAAACAACAGAAUCACUUUAUAACUAGGUAAUGAAAUAUUAAACAUAGACACGUAUAAAGCGUUACAAGUGUUUGUGUUAAAAAAAAAUACGCGUGUAUAAACUAUGAGCGUAUUAUUAUUGCAAUAUAAUAACGUGUACCGGGAACUCGGUCUUUUGACGAAUACUUACAUAAUAUCAUACAAUAAGACCGUAUUUAUAUUAUAUGUAUACAUGUAAAUUAUUACGAUGACGAUGGCGGUUUACGAGAGUACAAUAAUGAAAAACCCUCCGACCGUCUGUGAGGCAGCUAAGACGUCAUGGAAGUUUAUACCUUAUGCACAGUAUACGUAAUAGUGUGUGCGCGUGUAACGUUCUCGCGCGCACUGGUCGAACGAUCGUGACGUGUGUCAUAAUGUUAUUAUAACGCAUUAUUAUUAUUGUGAGCUCCAUAUAUUAUACAAAUUUUAUAUUUCUCCUUUCUCGUAAAGGACCGCGGCGACGACGACAAUGAUGUUCGUUUUACUUAUAACGGUCGGUACGCACGUUAUUAUUAAAUUUAGUAUAAUAUAAUAAGGUUCGUUUCGUGUGUUUCGUCGUCGGCGAGAUUAUCGUCGUUCCCGGUUUCUUUUCGAUCGAGAUAGUGUCGUUAUGGGGUUAAUUGGUCCGACCCAGCAAUACAUAACGAUAUUAUAAUACAUAAUAUUACGUAUCGCAUACCUGCACCGUAUAUUAAUAUUAUGAUAAGUGUACGUGACCGAAAAAAAUGAACGUUGCUGUGCCGACGCUGAGCACGGGUAACAUAUUAUUUUAUCAUAAUUGCGUAUUAUUAUGUGUUAUAUUUUAUAAUGUCAUUCGUAGGCUACCUGCGAUGAUGAACGUAAAACUGAAAGUACGAUCGACAAAUGUGACACAGUGUCGUCUCGCUAGUCUGACGACGGUGAUGUCCUGAAUUCAACGUUCACACCUUUAAAGUUUAAACCUCGUCAUCGUCCGAGUGAGUGCGUACAGCUAUGUAUACGAAGUAUCUUGACACUUCAAUUUAGGCAAUGCAGAGGUAUAUAUACAACGGCAGGCGAUGAGUGUAUAUUAUUAUCAUAAUAAACUAUUAAUACCACAAUAUGAUCGCACGGAGCACAUCGAAAACCAUUACACGCAUAUCUCACUUUAUUUGUACAGUGUGGAAGAAAAACUGUAAAAAUAGUAAAAUAUUUGUACCACCGCUCUAAAGAUGCGACGCCUCAUCGAACCUACGGCUACUGCGCCGUCACUACAAAUGCCACAUUUAUCCUUCAUUAAUUGAGGAGACAUACAAAAAUAACGGUCACUGUAUCACUAGACUCAUUAUUAUA